UGCAAGUCGAACGGCAGCAUGGGCUUCGGCCUGAUGGCGAGUGGCGAACGGGUGAGUAAUACAUCGGAACAUGCCUCGUUGUGGGGGACAACUACUCGAAAGAGUAGCUAAUACCGCAUAAGAUCUACGGAUGAAAGCAGGGGACCUUCGGGCCUUGCGCAAUGAGAGUGGCCGAUGGCAGAUUAGGUAGUUGGUGAGGUAAAGGCUCACCAAGCCUGCGAUCUGUAGCUGGUCUGAGAGGACGACCAGCCACACUGGGACUGAGACACGGCCCAGACUCCUACGGGAGGCAGCAGUGGGGAAUUUUGGACAAUGGGCGCAAGCCUGAUCCAGCAAUGCCGCGUGCAGGACGAAGGCCUUCGGGUUGUAAACUGCUUUUGUACAGAACGAAAAGCUUUGGGUUAAUACCCUGGAGCCAUGACGGUACUGUAAGAAUAAGCACCGGCUAACUACGUGCCAGCAGCCGCGGUAAUACGUAGGGUGCAAGCGUUAAUCGGAAUUACUGGGCGUAAAGCGUGCGCAGGCGGCUAUGCAAGACUGAUGUGAAAUCCCCGGGCUCAACCUGGGAACUGCAUUAGUGACUGCAUAGCUGGAGUGCGGCAGAGGGGGAUGGAAUUCCGCGUGUAGCAGUGAAAUGCGUAGAUAUGCGGAGGAACACCGAUGGCGAAGGCAAUCCCCUGGGCCUGCACUGACGCUCAUGCACGAAAGCGUGGGGAGCAAACAGGAUUAGAUACCCUGGUAGUCCACGCCCUAAACGAUGUCAACUGGUUGUUGGGAAUUUAUUUUUUCAGUAACGAAGCUAACGCGUGAAGUUGACCGCCUGGGGAGUACGGUCGCAAGACUAAAACUCAAAGGAAUUGACGGGGACCCGCACAAGCGGUGGAUGAUGUGGUUUAAUUCGAUGCAACGCGAAAAACCUUACCCACCUUUGACAUGUACGGAAGUUGCCAGAGAUGGCUUCGUGCUCGAAAGAGAGCCGUAACACAGGUGCUGCAUGGCUGUCGUCAGCUCGUGUCGUGAGAUGUUGGGUUAAGUCCCGCAACGAGCGCAACCCUUGUCAUUAGUUGCCAUCAUUUGGUUGGGCACUCUAAUGAGACUGCCGGUGAUAAACCGGAGGAAGGUGGGGAUGACGUCAAGUCCUCAUGGCCCUUAUAGGUGGGGCUACACACGUCAUACAAUGGCUGGUACAAAGGGUUGCCAACCCGCGAGGGGGAGCUAAUCCCAUAAAGCCAGUCGUAGUCCGGAUCGCAGUCUGCAACUCGACUGCGUGAAGUCGGAAUCGCUAGUAAUCGUGGAUCAGAAUGUCACGGUGAAUACGUUCCCGGGUCUUGUACACACCGCCCGUCACACCAUGGGAGCGGGUUCUGCCAGAAGUAGGUAGCUUAACCGUAAGGAGGGCGCUACCA
rnacentral:rRNA from 1 species